rnacentral:lncRNA from 1 species
CUUUCUUUCUUUCUUUCUUUCUUUCUUUCUUUCUUUCUUUCUUUCUUUCUUUCUUUCUUUCUUUCUUUCUUUCUUUUCCGUUUUGUAAAUUUUUCGAAGAGCCUCUCAAAUGUGACCAGACUAGUAAUGAAGAGGCUGAGAGGAAAUCGAUAAGGCAGCGGAGUGAGCAAAAACGAAUGAGAAUCCGUAGCUGAAUCUAACUACGUCCACUUGACAGAAGGGAGUGUGUGCGCCAAGCCCCUGCACCCCAAUGCCUGGCAAGCUCCCGGUGCCCUGGAGGCAACAACAAACAACGGAUAUUACAUCAUAAAUAACAGCGCUGGAGAUGUACCCCACACAGUGCCGGUUCGCGUCUGCUGCAGGACAUUGCAAGAGACAACCAGCUCCAUUUCCUACUCCCCAGCUUUCCCGGAGCAUCUGCAAGAGAGGAGCCUCCCGUCUAUCUGAAGAGACACUUUCCAUCCCCCAAGGAACAUGGCAGCCCAGAGCACCUGGAAAUGCGGGACUUCAUUCUGCAGUGUGGCCCAGCAACCAGGUUGAAUUGAGACCAAGGCUGGCUUCGAAGGUUGCAUGAAUACAUCUGCCAGAGCAGGUGUGUCACAGAGCCAGCUGAAAUGGGAUUUUUUCAGUGCAGGAUUUUAACGGGAUACCAUCAACUUGAACUCUCGUCAGCUUCCAGAAGAGAGUUAAAAGUAAUUCCAGGUGUUAGUUGGCCCUUAUCUUGCUCUGACAAUUUUAUUGUGGUUUUACAAUCAAAUGUUUCCUAUUUUUGAAAAUAUUUUGUUUUUGUGUGAAAGACCCAAAGGCAAACAACAAUGGAAACUGAUUGUGCAGGGGAAACAGUGAAAGUGAGUGUGCAGAAAAUGCUGAGCAAGGCACAAAUUAAAGAAACAGGUGAGGGAUGGAAGAGAGACAGAGAGAGAGGGAAAAAUAUUCUAAGGUCUCUUAUUUACAGUAACCUUAUUGGAACAACAACAAAACAGAAAUGAGAUUUUAAAUGACAGUCUCUUUAGUUGGGCUGAAUAUUUCAAAGUCUCUCAAUCUUCUGGCUUCAGGGCAUAGGAGGAUUACUGCCUGCAAUCAGGAGGAAAUUUCCCCCUCUUAUUAAAGCAUUUCACAAUUGGGUGCAUUAUGCCUCUGGUGCAUCCAUCACUUCAUGGAUUGUCACUGGAGACAGGAUACUAGACGAGCUGGACCCGGUCUAUGUUGGUACAGCAGUCUUCAAAGGAGCAGGCUUGGAGCUCAUGCAUUUGCCGUGGGCAAAUAUGGUUGUUGCAUAGUGAUAGGUGGGGAAAGUAAUUGUGUGUCCUUGACUUUUGAUUCCUUUGAUGAGAUCAAAUUCAUCAGGGACUGGGGUCUAUGAGUUUUACUGGGCCGUCCACUUCAAAGUAACCUGUAGGAUUGGAGUCUGUGUGGUGGCCAUCUAUAGCUUGUAUCCUUGAGCAAAUGUAAUAUCUGGAAUGACCUACCUAAAGCAGGCUCCCUAUUAGAUUGUCACGCCAGCCCCCACUGCGCCCCUGAAGCGUUAGCAAAUGGGUAGCUGGAAAUCCUGAAGCUUCAUUUUCUUUUGUGAAAAUGGAUGUUUGGAAGGGGUGGAGACCUCGGUAUUUGUGUAGACAGAUGCUGCUACACCGUGUGGAGGAGCUAGUGUUCCAAAACGGUCUCUCUGCUAUGCGCGCACACACACACCCAGACACACAGUGAGGCAUUAGAAGCAGAUCUGGCAGAUUCAGCCUACUCCCCAGUAGAUAUUUGUGUAUCAUUCAGUUGUGCAAAACCAGGCACCCUCUGCUUCCUGAAGAUGCCAAGGUCUAAAAGAGUAGGGAGCAUUCCAGGCUAGGAAAGAGGGGCAUGGGCAGAGCUGCAAGGUAGCCUGGAGGUCAGGGGGCUGGUGCAUUGAUAGCGUUGUGGUGGGAGAAGCUUGCACAGUGCCUGCCUGAGUGGUGUCUGGGCUCGAGCCACACUUGGCGCACAAGUAUUGUUAGGCUGUGGGGUAGGCCAUCACACCAGCUCCUGGAAGCUGUUCACAUAAUAGUGCCCUUCCAUUCAGGUCAAAUGAGGGAACAGCUAAAUGCUCCUUUGUUUAGGGAUAGAUGAAACAAUGGAAAACCUCCACCCAAGGACUAGACCACGUGCACAUCUGGGCGCUGGCUGGGACGUGCAAUCCAAGGGGUUUUCAUAUCACAUGCUGGGGUGGGGCUGGGGGUUGAUUUGUUUGCAGCUCUGUAAGUGUGUGUGAGGAGAGCCCGCGUGGGAGCACAGAUGCACAGAGAAGGCAACAGAAAAGCCAAAGAAAGUGUCAAGAAAACUGUUGGUGUCAUUAGGCCUAAAUGAACCAAAGUUCCUCCAUGUUUAACUCUAAUCAGCCUCUAAAGCCAGAAAUUGGAAUCUGUAACAACCAGUUAUCAAUUACACCCCCCCCCCCAUACUGGUACCAAGCGGUAAUAAUGAGGCCUGUAUGGCUGAAGGGGAGAUAAUAAAUCA